rnacentral:rRNA from 1 species
GACGUAGGGCGCGAGCGUUGUCCGGAUUUAUUGGGCGUAAAGAGCUCGUAGGCGGUUUGUCGCAUCUGCUGUGAAAACCCGAGGCUCAACCUCGGGCCUGCAGUGGGUACGGGCAGACUAGAGUGCGGUAGGGGAGAUUGGAAUUCCUGGUGUAGCGGUGGAAUGCGCAGAUAUCAGGAGGAACACCGAUGGCGAAGGCAGAUCUCUGGGCCGUAACUGACGCUGAGGAGCGAAAGCAUGGGGAGCGAACAGG